CGGGGAUAACAGGCUGAUACCGCCCAAGAGUUCACAUCGACGGCGGUGUUUGGCACCUCGAUGUCGGCUCAUCACAUCCUGGGGCUGAAGCAGGUCCCAAGGGUAUGGCUGUUCGCCAUUUAAAGUGGUACGCGAGCUGGGUUUAGAACGUCGUGAGACAGUUCGGUCCCUAUCUACCGUGGGCGUUGGAGACUUGAGGGAAGCUGUUCUUAGUACGAGAGGACCGGAAUGGACACACCUCUGGUGUUUCGGUUAUGACGCCAGUCGUAUUGCCGAGUAGCUAUGUGUGGAAAGGAUAACCGCUGAAAGCAUCUAAGCGGGAAGCCCCUCCCAAGAUUAGGUCUCCCUGACAGUUUAACUGUCCUAAAGAUCCCUCGGAGACUACGAGGUUGAUAGGCACGGUGUGGAAGAGUAGUGAUACUUGAAGCUAACGUGUACUAAUUGAUCGUGAGGCUUGACCAUAUAACACCCAA
rnacentral:rRNA from 1 species